rnacentral:rRNA from 1 species
AUGACGUCAAGUCAUCAUGGCCCUUAUGUCCUGGGCUACACACGUAAUACAAUGGUCGAUACAAAGAGCAAAGUCGCGAGGCGAAGGUAAUCUCUAAAGUCGACCUCAGUUCGGAUUGGAGUCUGCAACUCGACUCUAUGAAGCUGGAAUCGCUAGUAAUCGUAGAUCAGCAUGCUACGGUGAAUACGUUCCCGGGCCUU